rnacentral:lncRNA from 1 species
GCCCCUCCUGCCCUAUCCUCUGAUUGACAGGAAGGAAUGAUGUCACCUUUUUGCAGUCCGCUACAAUCGGUUUUAAUUGUGGUCCUUUAUUGAGGGCCAGCACAUGUCCCAGGCUAGUGGAGCCCACACAGUUACUUCUGGGAAUGCUUUUAUCAGCAAAGACUAAAUGGACGCCAGAUGGAUUCAGCAAGGAAGAUUCACUGUUGGUUUGAAAAACUGUGUUCACAAGUACUCUGUAUUUCUGGUUUCUCAUGAAACAUGACUGAGAUAGAAAGAAACAGUGACUUCUUUACAGAAGUUCAACAGGAUGGUGGUUGUUGGGCUAUCACCCCCUGUUGGCCUGGAGUUGAGAUUUGGACCACCAAAAUGGGACAUUAACAAAGACACUGCAUAAACUUUUUUUAGAAGAAAAGACCACAACUUUUAUUGUUUUCAGCAGCACUCUCUGGCUUAGCAUUGGGAGAUUAGAUCCAGUGCAGUGAAGGGACCCAUAUGCCCCCUGAUGCCCACCACUGACCCCUUCAGUAGCCACUGAAGGUUCCAACAGGAGCAGCAGUCCUUUUGAAGAUCACGUGGGCAUACACCACU